AAGUCGUAACAAGGUCUCCGUAGGUGAACCUGCGGAGGGAUCAUUACAGAGUUCAUGCCCUUACGGGUAGAUCUCCCACCCUGUGUUAUUAUUACUUUGUUGCUUUGGCGGGCCGCGUCAAGCCACCGGCUCACGCUGGUGAGCGCCCGCCAGAGGCCCCAACUCUUGAUUUUAUGAUGUCUGAGUACUAUAUAAUAGUUAAAACUUUCAACAACGGAUCUCUUGGUUCUG
rnacentral:misc_RNA from 1 species